rnacentral:rRNA from 1 species
AGCAGCCGCCACGGUAAUACGGAGGGGGCUAGCGUUGUUCGGAAUUACUGGGCGUAAGCGCACGUAGGCGGCUUGGUAAGUUAGAGGUGAAAGCCCGGAGCUCAACUCCGGAAUUGCCUUUAAGACUGCCGGGCUAGCAGGUGAGAGAGGUAAGUGGAAUUCCGAGUGUAGAGGUGAAAUUCGUAGAGAUCUGGAGGAAUACCGAUGGCGAAGGCAGCCAUCUGGCCUAAUACUGACGCUGAGGUACGAAAGCAUGGGGAGCAAACAGGAUUAGAGACCCCUGUAGUCCCUGUCUCUUAUACA